CAUGCAAGUCGAACGGCAGCACGGGUGCUUGCACCUGGUGGCGAGUGGCGAACGGGUGAGUAAUACAUCGGAACAUGUCCUGUAGUGGGGGAUAGCCCGGCGAAAGCCGGAUUAAUACCGCAUACGAUCUACGGAUGAAAGCGGGGGACCUUCGGGCCUCGCGCUAUAGGGUUGGCCGAUGGCUGAUUAGCUAGUUGGUGGGGUAAAGGCCUACCAAGGCGACGAUCAGUAGCUGGUCUGAGAGGACGACCAGCCACACUGGGACUGAGACACGGCCCAGACUCCUACGGGAGGCAGCAGUGGGGAAUUUUGGACAAUGGGCGAAAGCCUGAUCCAGCAAUGCCGCGUGUGUGAAGAAGGCCUUCGGGUUGUAAAGCACUUUUGUCCGGAAAGAAAUCCUUGGUUCUAAUAUAGCCGGGGGAUGACGGUACCGGAAGAAUAGGCACCGGCUAACUACGUGCCAGCAGCCGCGGUAAUACGUAGGGUGCGAGCGUUAAUCGGAAUUACUGGGCGUAAAGCGUGCGCAGGCGGUUUGCUAAGACCGAUGUGAAAUCCCCGGGCUCAACCUGGGAACUGCAUUGGUG
rnacentral:rRNA from 1 species